GAGUUUGAUCUUGGCUCAGGACGAACGCUGGCGGCGUGCCUAACACAUGCAAGUUGAGCGGAGAUAUGGAGAGCUUGCUCUUUAUAUUUUAGCAGCGAACGGGUGAGUAACACGUAGAUAAUUUGUCCUAUAUUGGGGGAGUAGCCGAUAGAAAUUAGGUAUUAAUACCGCAUACAGCUAUUUAACCGUCAUGGGGAGGAUAGUAGAAAGGGGAAACGUUAGAUAUAGGAGGAGUCUGCGGCACA
rnacentral:rRNA from 1 species